AUGUCCGGUUUGUAAGAAAGACUAAGG
rnacentral:tRNA from 1 species